rnacentral:rRNA from 1 species
ACGUAGGGUGCAAGCGUUAAUCGGAAUUACUGGGCGUAAAGCGUGCGCAGGCGGUUGUGCAAGACAGAUGUGAAAUCCCCGGGCUUAACCUGGGAACUGCAUUUGUGACUGCACGGCUAGAGUGUGUCAGAGGGGGGUAGAAUUCCACGUGUAGCAGUGAAAUGCGUAGAUAUCGAGAGGAACACCAGUGGCGAAGGCGGGUCCCUGGACAACACCUGACACUGAGG